UUGACAAGUUAGCGGAUGACCUGUGGAUCGGAGUGAAAGGAAAAUCAAGCUCGGAGAUAGCUGGUUCUCCCCGAAAGCUAUUUAGGUAGCGCCUCGUGUAUCACUGCUGGGGGUAGAGCACUGUUUCGGCUAGGGGGUCAUCCCGACUUACCAAACCGAUGCAAACUCCGAAUACCAGCAAGUGUCAGCACGGGAGACACACGGCGGGUGCUAACGUCCGUCGUGAAGAGGGAAACA
rnacentral:rRNA from 1 species